rnacentral:rRNA from 1 species
UAAUACGGAGGAUCCAAGCGUUAUCCGGAAUCAUUGGGUUUAAAGGGUCCGUAGGCGGUUUGGUAAGUCAGUGGUGAAAGCCCAUCGCUUAACGAUGGAACGGCCAUUGAUACUGCCAGACUUGAAUUACUGGGAAGUAACUAGAAUAUGUAGUGUAGCGGUGAAAUGCUUAGAUAUUACAUGGAAUACCAAUUGCGAAGGCAGGUUACUACCGGUGGAUUGACGCUGAUGGACGAAAGCGUGGGGAGCGAACAGGAUUAGAUACCCUGGUAGUCCACGCCGUAAACGAUGGAUACUAGCUGUUGGGAUUUAUCUCAGUGGCUAAGCGAAAGUGAUAAGUAUCCCACCUGGGGAGUACGAACGCAAGUUUG